GUGGGUAUAGCUGAAGCAGUAGAGUGCAUGCUUAGCAUGCAUGAGGUCCUGGGUUCAAUCCCCAGUACCUCCU
rfam:Camelus ferus unplaced genomic scaffold scaffold313, whole genome shotgun sequence.